AUACGUAGGGAGCGAGCGUUGUCCGGAAUUACUGGGCGUAAAGGGAGUGUAGGCGGGACGGUAAGUCAGGUGUGAAAUUUAUGGGCUCAACUCAUAAACUGCACUUGAAACUGCUGUUCUUGAGUGAAGUAGAGGUUGGCGGAAUUCCUAGUGUAGCGGUGAAAUGCGUAGAUAUUAGGAGGAACACCAGUAGCGAAGGCGGCUUUCUGGACUGUAACUGACACUGAGGCACGAAAGCGUGGGGAGC
rnacentral:rRNA from 1 species